rnacentral:lncRNA from 1 species
GUGUGGUGAGAAGUGAGAACGCAAAAGUUAUACUCAGCUCGGAGGUUUUAAGGAUUGUAGAUUGAUGAGAAUAUGAUAGAAAGCCAUAACGGAUGUAUAUAUAUAUAUAUAUAUAUUUAUAUGUAUGUUUUGAAUCAUCUGUGAACAGGUAACAUAAUCUUAAGACAUGGGUUUUACUUUUCUUUCUUGUCGGAAAUCAGAAAAGGAACGGAAAGUCUGAGUACUACAAGAAGCAAGAGAAGCUGCUCGAGGGUUUCAAUGGGAUGGUGACUGAAACACCCGCCCCUUCCCCAUUUCCAACCGGAGUUCCUGGGCGCGGG